ACUCAUCAAACCUGCUGUCCUCAGCUGUGGCCACCACAUAACACUGAGAUAAAACCUAUCAAGAAAUCCAGCCAGACUGGAGGAUGCCCACAGAAUCACAGGAAACUCCCCAGGAACCCUGCUUUACCCCUGAGAUCUUACAGAAGGAGACCGGAGUAUCAGUCUGCAUCUGAAAGGACCACACUCAUCAGCCAGGUUGCCAGACCUCCUAUACAACCUUAAUGAAUAAUUGGUCCUGUGUCCUGUCUGAAGAGCGAUGAGCUCUGACCUCUCCCCUGCUACUGAUAACACAAUGCCCAGACUCAGCGCGACAUUCAAGAAAUGUAAGUGCCCUAGAGUGCUUCUGUAAAGGCCGCCCAGAUUGCCACUGGCUUUUUCUAAAGGGGUUGCAAACCAAUUUCUAAUUCUGGUCUACUAUCAGAAUAGUAGGCUCGCUGUCUCCUUCAAUUUUUUCUUCCCAUGCUGCGUAUAUGUGGAUGUUUUCAAUAAAAUCAUUGAAAAAAAA
rnacentral:lncRNA from 1 species